CCCCUCUCAGGGUCACACCUGGAGAGUUUCCAGUACUCUACCAGUCUCGACUACAGGAGGGAAAGUCAAGCAGAGGCACAUCCAUUCCAUUCCUCACUUGGCCAAUGGCUAGUGAGUGGAAGGCAAUCUGCUACAAGC
rfam:Ornithorhynchus anatinus chromosome X1, whole genome shotgun sequence.